ensembl:lncRNA
GUGUAGAGCUUAAAAUUAUGCUCAAUGUCACACUUACUGGAACAACUCAGUAUGCUGAGAUUGUCUCAUUUCAUUAGACAUGAUUUCAUCUUUUUUUUCAAUUUUUUUAAUGACAGUAGCCUGAUGCAUAGAUCUUUAAAAGGUCUGCAGAAACCAGAAGAUGAAAUGUAGAGUGAUUCAUCUGAACACUGAUUCAGUCCAAAAACUGAACAAUAGAUUUCACAACUGUCAGUGCUGAGUGGAGUUCCUUGUCUGCUUCUACACUACAAGCCUUCAGUCACCCUUGGAGGAAGCUCAUUUCUACUUCUGAACAAGGGUAUUUUGUUCACGGCACCACAGGCAAGUAUCUAGAAGUAUAUCUAUGCUAGGAAGCGAAGAACUUCAUGCUAAUUGAUUUUUAUGACUCACAUUUGCCAUUCCAGUAUAGCCAUAAUGCUGAUAUAAUAUUUCUGGACAUUUUUAGUUCUUCCAGGAAGUGUUUAGGAAGAGGAGAGCUUGAAUGGCUGCCGGCUUGGUCUGCAGAUGUGUAGUUCUUCCUGGGUUGGAUUUGCAGGGUUCAUGUAAGCAUGAACUCAGACCCUCUGCAAAGGUAGAGGUGAUAUUUAGGCUGCAUUCUGCUGACGUGUUCCUGAGCUUGAUGAAGAGUUACCUUUUUUGACCUGGGAAGAUUGGAAAAGAAAUCUGGAAUUGCAGGAUGUGGAUUUGGCUUCAGUCUUUACCUUGAUGAUUUCAGAAUAAUCUUUGACAUUCAGAAUUAAUCAGUCCUUGGCUACUUCUGGAGAAAACCCCAAGCCAUCAUGGGCUCAGGAUGUGGCCUAACUCCCCAUGUGCAGCAUGGUUCUGGACUACACAAGGUGCAGGCUGUGGUACCAAAUAAGCUGUCCUCAUUCGGCAGGCUGAGCUGCUCUCAGAGGACUUCAUGGCCUUGUAUCACACCCAGAAUGAGGAGCGGGCACCAAAUAAUAAACAAAAAUAUGCUGUCAUCCUCAACCUCUUGUGGGAUGGAGGAGAAGUCUGACAACUUAACUUGGCUUUGCUAUCCCUCAUGGGCAAACGUGCUUCCUUUCCUUCCUGUGAUGCAUUGCAAGCGUAAUGUGUCUUGUCCUGCUGCCAAUACCACCACAAUAGAUUACAGUGCUUCUCUGAGCAGAGAUACUGGUAACAUACAUUCCUCCACACAGUCCUUGAAGAACACUGAAAUUUCAAAGAAGAGAAUCAAAGGCAGAACGCCUGCGAUGAAGGGAGCGGGCAUUCAGCCUACUGCUGGACAGACCUCUCAUCUCCCUCUCGUGCUGCCUCUGCUGUGGAUCAGUGCUGCAGGGGCUCAGGCUGCCAUUCUCAGCACUACACCAGCAGCAUUAAUGCAGCCCAGGCACUGACAAUCUGAGCUAAGACUUGCAGCAGCGCUGCUUCAACUCAAAGUAACAUGUGGUGCAAAAAAAAAAUCUCUUCUUGGCAGAGGACACAACACAGAGAGGGCAAACAGAUGGGGACUGCCUCUACUCUGGUCAGGAAAAAUAGAAGUGUCGUUUGUGAAAAAACCCUGGCAUUUCAAGAGCCGCAUUCCAUUGUGUCAGACAAAAUGAGACCUUUCAC